AGUGAACGCUGGCGGUAGGCCUAACACAUGCAAGUCGAACGGCAGCACAGUAAGAGCUUGCUCUUACGGGUGGCGAGUGGCGGACGGGUGAGGAAUACAUCGGAAUCUACUUUUUCGUGGGGGAUAACGUAGGGAAACUUACGCUAAUACCGCAUACGACCUACGGGUGAAAGCAGGGGAUCUUCGGACCUUGCGCGAUUGAAUGAGCCGAUGUCGGAUUAGCUAGUUGGCGGGGUAAAGGCCCACCCAGGCGACGAUCCGUAGCUGGUCUGAGAGGAUGGUCAGCCACACUGGAACUGGGACACGGUCCAGACUCCUACGGGAGGCAGCAGUGGGGAAUAUUGGACAAUGGGCGCAAGCCUGAUCCAGCCAUACCGCGUGGGUGAAGAAGGCCUUCGGGUUGUAAAGCCCUUUUGUUGGGAAAGAAAAGCAGCAGGUUAAUACCCCGCUGUUCUGACGGUACCCAAAGAAUAAGCACCGGCUAACUUCGUG
rnacentral:rRNA from 1 species